rnacentral:rRNA from 1 species
UUUAAUCUUUUUGUUAAGGAUCGAGCAACCCGGGACGUUCUGCUUAGUGGCCGGUUGAGCCAAGGCUUGUACCGUUUGGAGGAUCCAUCCGCCCCGUGCGUCUUCAGCGGUGUUCGUGUGUCGCCUUCCCAGUGGCACUCUCGCUUUGGUCACCCCGCCACACCCAUCGUUCGCCACAUAAUCCACCGUCAUGAGCUGCCAUUAGUGUCUAGCAAUAAAGAGAUGUCCGUGUGUGAUGCCUGUCAGCAAGGCAAGAGUCAUCAGCUACCUUUUGUUUCAUCUACUAGAGAAGUAAAGAACCCUCUUGAAAUUGUGUUUUCUGAUGUGUGGGGUCCGGCACAAACAUCUGUUAGU